rnacentral:lncRNA from 1 species
GGGACCUAUAAAACAGGACCCGUGCAGCUGGCCCACCAAUCCCUGAGCUUCUACAUGCUCUGACAGACAGAUUAUGUGGCAGGAAGAAGUCCAGGAUCAGGAAGGACUGCUAUUGCCAACACAAUGAUGUGUCUGAGACAGCUGAACAACAAGAACCAGCAGCAGAUAUAUAGGAACAGAUACUGAAUAUGAAAAUAUAUAAAACAGGAAGAUGAAGAAAGUGAUGCAAA